rnacentral:rRNA from 1 species
GCAAGUCGAGCGAUCGGUCUUUGGAAGCUUGCUUUUGAAGAUACGGAGCGGCGCACGGGUGAGUAACGCGUAGGUAACCUGCCUCACAAUUCGGGAUAGCUGGUCGAAAGUCCAAUUAUUACCGGAUACGACAAGAGAGUGGAAUCUCUAACUUGGGAAAGGCGCUUUCGGGCGUUGUUGUGAGAUGGGCUUGCGUACUAUUAGCUAGUUGGUGGGGUAAUGGCCUACCAAGGCUUUGAUGGUUAGCCGGCUUGAGAGAGUGAAC